CAGGAUGAACGCUGGCGGCGUGCCUAAUACAUGCAAGUCGAGCGAUGAGGCUCCUUCGGGAGUACAUCAGCGGCGAACGGGUGAGUAACACGUAGGUGACUUGCCCCGAAGAUGGGGAUAACCUCUGGAAACGGGGGCUAAUACCCAAUGUGCUCGGUGAUUCGGUUGAUCGAGUAAGCUCCGGCGCUUCGGGAGAGGCCUGCGGCCCAUCAGCUAGUUGGUAGGGUAACGGCCUACCAAGGCAGAGACGGGUAGGGGGCGUGAGACGCGGACCCCCACACUGGCACUGCGACACGGGCCAGACUCCUACGGGAGGCAGCAGUAAGGAAUAUUGCGCAAUGGACGAAAGUCAGACGCAGCGACGCCGCGUGGGCGAUGAAGGCCUUCGGGUUGUAAAGCCCUUUUAUGGGGGAAGAGAAAAAGGACGUACCCCAUGAAUAAGUCCCGGCUAACUACGUGCCAGCAGCCGCGGUAAAACGUAGGGGACAAGCGUUAUCCGGAUUCACUGGGCGUAAAGAGCGUUGAGGCGGUUCCGUAAGUUGGGCGUGAAAGCUCCGGGCUUAACCCGGAGAUGUCGUUCAAUACUGCGGGGCUUGAGGACAGCAGAGGAAGGUGGAAUUCCCGGUGUAGUGGUGAAAUGCGUAGAUAUCGGGAGGAACACCCGUGGCGAAGGCGGCCUUCUGGGCUGUUCCUGACGCUGAAGGCGAAAGCUAGGGGAGCGAACGGGAUUGGAUACCCUGGUAGUCNAAGG
rnacentral:rRNA from 1 species